rnacentral:rRNA from 1 species
GAUGAACGCUGGCGGCGUGCCUAAUACAUGCAAGUCGAGCGAACAGACGAGGAGCUUGCUCCUCUGACGUUAGCGGCGGACGGGUGAGUAACACGUGGAUAACCUACCUAUAAUACUGGGAUAACUUCGGGAAACCGGAGCUAAUACCGGAUAAUAUAUUGAACCGCAUGGUUCAAUAGUGAAAGACGGUUUUGCUGUCACUUAUAGAUGGAUCCGCGCCGCAUUAGCUAGUUGGUAAGUUAACGGCUUACCAAGGCAACGAUGCGUAGCCGACCUGAGAGGGUGAUCGGCCACACUGGAACUGAGACACGGUCCAGACUACUACGGGAGGCAGCAGUAGGGAAUCUUCCGCAAUGGGCGAAAGCUUGACGGAGCAACGCCGAGUGAGUGAUGAAGGUCUUCGGAUCGUAAAACUCUGUUAUUAGGGAAGAACAAAUGUGUAAGUAACUAUGCACGUCUUGACGGUACCUAAUCAGAAAGCCACGGCUAACUACGUG